rnacentral:tRNA from 1 species
GGCAGGGUGGUCCAGUAGUUAGGGCACUAAUCUAGGUUUUGAGAAACUUGGGUUCAAUUCCCUGCUCUGCCA